CAUGCCGGGGANUCAUGGGGGACUGCCGGUGCCAAACCGGAGGAAGGUGGGGAUGACGUCAAGUCAUCUUGGCCCUUACGCCCAGGGUUACNCNCGUGCUACAAUGGCCGGUACAAAGGGCUGCAAGCCCGCGAGGGUGANCNAAUCCCAAAAANCCGGUCCAANUUCGGAUUGCANUCUGCAACUCGACUGCAUNAANCCGGAAUCUCUAGUAAUCGNGAAUCACCUACGUCACGGUGAAUACGUUCCCGGGCCUUGCACACA
rnacentral:rRNA from 1 species